CUAGGAAUCUUGGGAAUGGGCGAAAGCCUGACCCAGCAACGCCGCGUGGGCGAUGAAGGCCUUCGGGUCGUAAAGCCCUUUUGCGGGGGACGAUAAUGACGGUACCCCGCGAAUAAGCCACGGCUAACUACGUGCCAGCAGCCGCGGUAAUACGUAGGUGGCAAGCGUUGUCCGGAUUUACUGGGCGUAAAGGGCGUGCAGGCGGUUUGUUAAGUCUAGGGUGAAAGCUCCCGGCUCAACUGGGAGAGGUCCUUGGAUACUGGCGAACUUGAGGGAUGCAGAGGAAAGUGGAAUUCCCGGUGUAGCGGUGAAAUGCGUAGAGAUCGGGAGGAACACCAGAGGCGAAGGCGGCUAGCUGGAUAGGCACUGACACUCAACUACGAAAGCGUGGGGAGCAAACAGGAUUAGAUACCCCGGUAGUCCCUGAGCGGGCUGGCAAGGCGCAU
rnacentral:rRNA from 1 species